AUUGAACGCUGGCGGCAGGCCUAACACAUGCAAGUCGAGUGGAUGAAGGGAGCUUGCUCCUGGAUUCAGCGGCGGACGGGUGAGUAAUGCCUAGGAAUCUGCCUGGUAGUGGGGGAUAACGUCCGGAAACGGGCGCUAAUACCGCAUACGUCCUGAGGGAGAAAGUGGGGGAUCUUCGGACCUCACGCUAUCAGAUGAGCCUAGGUCGGAUUAGCUAGUUGGUGGGGUAAAGGCCUACCAAGGCGACGAUCCGUAACUGGUCUGAGAGGAUGAUCAGUCACACUGGAACUGAGACACGGUCCAGACUCCUACGGGAGGCAGCAGUGGGGAAUAUUGGUCAAUGGGCGAAAGCCUGAUCCAGCCAUGCCGCGUGUGUGAAGAAGGUCUUCGGAUUGUAAAGCACUUUAAGUUGGGAGGAAGGGCAGUAAGUUAAUACCUUGCUGUUUUGACGUUACCAACAGAAUAAGCACCGGCUAACUUCGUG
rnacentral:rRNA from 1 species